CAAGAUCUUGUAUUGCUACUCUUCGUAAAGUAGCACUAUGAAAAGUUUCCUCGGAAGCAGGCUGGGUGGUAGUGUGAGCAAAGUGAGUACAAUGAGGAUCCAGAUAAAAAAAGUACUGAUUUUGUCUUGCAUAAAAGUAAUGAGCAGACCUUGGACGACCUCCAGUGAUGCCAACAAAUGAACGAAUUUCAAACACCUGAAGCAACUGAUCGUAGUAUGAUUCAUUAAUUGAAUCAAUUCCU